CACUCCCAGCCGCCACCCCCAUUCGCCUGCUCUCCCGAACCACCGCAGCCUCCUGCCGCUCGCCGCUCCUCAAGCUGCAACGAGGACCAACGCCUACGCCACCUCCUCGAGCUAUAGCUGCGGCCGGCAUCGACGCCGGUGCCUCCUCCUCUUUUCCCCAACCAACGCCGGUGUAGCACCGGUCCGCGUCCUUUUCCCUCAACCUGGGAUCCUAGAUCUGUUGCGCGGCCGUCCCCUCGUCAAGUCAGAUGGCCCGAACCUCCGCCGUGGCUCCUCCUCAAGCCGGAUGCCAUGGAUCUACCGCGACCGGCCCCCUCAUCAAGCAACCCAACCGAGAUCCGCCAUGGUCGCCUCCUGGCCAUGCAAGGUUAUUGGAGAUUAUUAGUUGGCUCAAUUAGUGGCUUGGGCACAAGCUUUAAUGCGCUUACAUAGACAGGUGGAUCCACGGCAGUAGCCGAGCAUUCUUAACCGUGCAGUAGAGGGCGGUGCCAAAGCCUGAGCUCUGGGAUGAUGCAGUGAUUUGGGAAAAACAAGCAGUUUGCUCCUGGAAGCAUACUUCUGUAGGUUCAAGCAUAUCUAUACUUAGUAGGGCUGAACUUGUUCACAAAUUCAAAGAUAUGAUCAACGUGAGGCUUAUGGGAGCUUCCCCAAUGGAUAAAUUUAGGUGAUUGCCCUUGGAUCUCAGUGGGUUAUGGUCUCCAAGACUCCAACAAGCCAACUUGAUCAUGAUGCUUGUGUGUUGCAUUCUUGAUAGAGUUCAGGAUGGUGCUUCAACUAUGAAGAGCUUAAGCUGUUUUUUGCGGUUUUCUUAGGAUUCUGUAGGACUAGUACAUUGUUUCAUGCUUAGAUCGAGAUGUAUGUUGAAUAUUUCUUCUUUUUAUUACAUUUGCAUGUCAAUCAAUAUAACAUACUGAUGGAAUACUUUACCUUGUUGAAUGUAUUUAUGCUCUAACAGGUUUAUUGCAA